CCCUAUCGUUUUGAGUCGUCCGGAGGCGCGAAGCGAAACGACUGUUAAGGAGUGGUAUUAUGAAAUAACUCUCCAAAUAAGGAAGGAGAGGGGAGAAGCGAAACGACUGAAUCUAAUAGGAGUGGUAUUAUGAAAUAGCUCUCCAAAUAAGGAAGGAGAGGGUCAAAGAAUUUGAGGCGAAACGACUGAUUUCAAAUAUUUUUAGGAGUGGUAUUAUUCAAUAGCUCUCAAAAUAAUAAGGAAGGAGAGGGUCAAAGAAUUUGAGGCGAAACGACUGAAUUAUCAUAAAAGAAGGAGCCCUUUAUUUGAAGAAAUAACUCGACUCCAAAUAGAGGAGAGGGGAGAAGCGAAACGACUGAUUUAAAGAAGGAGCCCUUGAUUUUCUGAAAUCACUCUCCAAAUAGUAAGGUUCGAAGAAAGUCGACUGAUAAGGAGUCAAUGAACAAGGGCGAAUUCCUUAUUCUUAACAGGAGUGCAACGAAAGAAAUCCAUAUAAACAUAAUGCACUCCUUCUCAUUGAUAAUGAAGGAGUUUCGCUCUCUCUUUAUUCAAUGAGCUUUGAUCCUUAUCUUUUUGAGUCGAGUUAUUGAAUAAUGCACUCCCACCUAAGAAUAAUAAGGGAUAAUUCCUUUCGCUCUCAAAUUCUUCUCAACUCCUCUCCUAUAUUUUUUUCUACGAGUACCUUCGCUCCUCGCAUAUUUCAUUGCGCCUCUAUUUUGAGUCGAGUUAUUUCAUUGAAUAAUAAUCGUCGGGCUCUGAACCUUAUCAGUCGAGCUGCCCUUGUUCAUUGACUCCUUAUCAGUCGACUUUCUUCGAACCUCCAAACAAACCUUCGCUCCUCUCCUUCCUAACCUCAGUCGAGCCGCUUUCGCUCCUUCGCUCCUUCACAGUCGCUUCGCUUCGCGCCUUCGCAAAUUCUUUGCUCCUUUCCAGUCGCUUCUCAACCUUUGUUCAUUGAUUCAGCUUGAAUCUUGGACUCCUUUCAGUCGAGCCUCCUCUGCUUUUUUAGCCUACGGAGUCUCUCAUUGAGGACCUUUGUUUUCUUUGAGCCUCCGCGCGCUCUUCAUUUUUCAGCGUCUUUCUCGUGGCGGGAAGAGAACAAGAGGAGGUAUCGAUAGUCGGACUGAUUUAUUCCAUAUACUUUGAGUAGGCUUUCUUCUUUCUGGUUGGUACUUAUAGAGGGCGAGCUUUAUUUAAGAGAGAAUGGGGAGUGAAUCUCAUCCGUUUUCGUUCUUGCUUUGGUUCGGGCUCCUCUCUCUCUUAUUCGUAGUUAGGAAGGGGGAGAAGGAGUCUAAAUCAAUGGACAUUAAUUCACCAUCAUUGAUGGACGUUGCACAUGACACACGAGAAAUUCGACUCAAGGUCCGGCGCUAAUAGAAGUAGCGGACUCUCCUAGUAGCGAAGGAAAAGGGCAGGGCUUUUUUCGUCGUAAUAGUGGGCCGGUCUCAUGAGAUCUAUGCCGGCCGAAUCAAAUUCAGGUCGCAGCAGAGUAAGCUACUCCAGAUGAGUUGACGCCCUCGCCUGGCGCCAUUCCCGGACCUAGCAGCAGACGGGCAGGCCGGGCCAGAAUUCAGACCAGACUCUUCUUUCUUUGAGCUGCUCCCACGCACGCAGACCGGAAGAUCUUGUCCUGGACUGGACACAGUACGUAGAGAUCUUCGUGGGACCGGGGGAGGGAGUCUCAAUCGAUCUUUUCUAGGAUUCCUUAUCACGCACGGAGAUCUUUCCAUUGUCAGAGGUGGUAUAACUACCACCUUGAAGAGACUCAGAAAGGUUAGCUUACUACCUGCCUGCCUCUACUACAGAGGUUGACUUUGUACCGCCCGGAGGUCAUAUAGAUCGGAACCCGGAGCGAUAAGAAGGGUCGGUCAAUAGCAUAGCUCUUUCUUUCCCGGGUCUCCUUUCUCCUUCGAAAGGCCUUCGCAUUCCUAAUCCGGUGGGGGGCCGGACGGCUUUCUUUGCCCCAGCUUGGCGAAUCGCAUCCCCGCGCAACGACAUUCUUUGUGCGCCCCUGACCGUUCUCGCUCAGUCUUUGCAAGGGCUGGGGAGGCAGUCUACGAAGCUCAGCCUAUCGCCCACGCCGACCAUCAAAUACGACCUUCUCAAAGAAAAGAUGGAAUGGCCGGCCCCAAGAGCGCUUAUGUCAUAUAGGAAGGCUGGAAAGAAUCCCAUAAGUUCAGAAGAAGAAGAAGUUUGAGUCAUCCGCAUCUCUGGGUCCUUUCAUCCUACAUAUUCCCACGGGGCGGUCGGACGGGUCCUCCGGCGCGAAGCGAAAGGCAUUUAUCUAAGAAAAUCAGAGAAAAGGAGUCCCUUCGCAAAUUCUUUGCCCCUAACUACGGGAGUGCAACGAAAGAAUUCCACAGGCUAAUUAAACUAGUCCUCACUGGUUUAAUUUAAACAAAGGCUGAAUUCAAGCUAAUAUGGAUAUAAACAAGUCCUACGGACGGGUUCAAAGAAGAUUUCAAGGACUCCGGACGAGUUCCAGAGGUCUCGACUGAAAGGAGAGUGAGGCGCAAAGAAUUUGCGAAUAAAGUCAAAGAAUGAUCGAAGAAUUUGAGCUUUUCAUUCCACUCAUUCAAUGCCUGAGGACGGACGUAGGACCACUCAAACUUCUGUCCUCCGGACCGGUAGGAAUAAGAGAAAGAAAAGUCCAGGUUGGUUGGUGAGCCUAGUGAUAGGAAACUAUCUAGCUUGGUUCGGAGAGCACUUGUUGGGUUCAAUCUUUCUUUCUUGCUAAAUGUUACGGCCUAAAUGCUAAACUAUUGACCCUACUUGUUCGGAUGGGUGUUCACCCCAAAGUGUUCCCGGACCACAUGCAUACAUCCGUAAGUAACUUAGUGCAACAUGGCAAAUUUCAUUGAGAGGAAUCAGUAAAGAAAAGAAAAAGGAAGA